GGGAAGAGUAGUUUUUGUCGAGUGACGCCGCGGAGGAAAAGAUGAGAGCGAGAAAAAGUAUACGGAAGUGCCCCCCCCGCGCAGUGCUCUGUAGGCACUCCUACUCAGACGUGGAACUGUGUCGAUGAUGUUGGAAGCACAAACAGUAUGCCCUGUACAUCAAUCCUGCUUUCAACAAGCAGGAUCUCAAUCUAACCGCUCUGAAACCACAACCCUCCUUCAAGCCAACAAGAGGAGACUCAAGUCAACAAAACCUAGUGCCAUGAGAAGACAUGUUCCUCUUUUAGGUACCACAGGACACUGUGUGGGUUUUUUUGCUGCAGCAGACUAACUCUUCUGCAAAUAGGAUGAACCAGAUCCACUUAAGCAGCAGCAAGAAUUUUAAAAACAGGAAGCAAGAGUGAGAAUGAAUGGACAGUUUUCACAAUGGAGGGAAGUAAAACACUGGAGAACCUAAAGGCACUCUACUGGGAAUUCUGCUGUUUGGCUGGCUUUUUUUUUUUAAAGCACCUUAGACCAAUCAGGUAAGGACAGGCGAGUAACAGCAGACAAAACUGAGUUGGUGGGCUGUUUUUUAUUUCCUAAAAUCACUGUAGAUUAGAACAUGCUUAGGACAGUCAAUGCUCCACACCAAAUGGAACACUACCCNACCACCUCCCCUUUGCCUGCAUUUGCUCAAACAAUAAAAUAGAACAUCUCUGUUUAUAUCUAGUGCCU
rnacentral:lncRNA from 1 species